GACGAACGCUGGCGGCAUGCCUAAUACAUGCAAGUCGAGCGAACAGAUGAAGUGCUUGCAAUUCUGACGUUAGCGGCGAACGGGUGAGUAACACGUAAGGAAUCUACCUAUAAGCGGGGGAUAACAUUCGGAAACGGGUGCUAAUACCGCAUAAUAUCUUCUUCCGCAUGGAAGAAGAUUGAAAGACGGCUCUGCUGUCACUUAUAGAUGACCUUGCGGUGCAUUAGUUAGUUGGUGGGGUAAUGGCCUGCCAAGACGAUGAUGCAUAGCCGACCUGAGAGGGUGAUCGGCCACAUUGGGACUGAGACACGGCCCAAACUCCUACGGGAGGCAGCAGUAGGGAAUCUUCCGCAAUGGGCGAAAGCCUGACGGAGCAAUGCCGCGUGAGUGAAGAAGGCCUUCGGGUCGUAAAACUCUGUUAUAAGAGAAGAACAAAUUGUAGAGUAACUGCUACAGUCUUGACGGUAUCUUAUCAGAAAGUCACGGCUAACUACGUGCCAGCCGCCGCAGUAA
rnacentral:rRNA from 1 species